GUCUAUGGCCAUACCACCCUGAAUGUACCCAAUCUCUUGGAAGCUAAGUAGAGUUGGGCCUCAUUAGUACUUGGACU
rnacentral:rRNA from 1 species